rnacentral:rRNA from 1 species
GAUGAACGCUGGCGGCGUGCCUAAUACAUGCAAGUCGAGCGAACAGACGAGGAGCUUGCUCCUUUGACGUUAGCGGCGGACGGGUGAGUAACACGUAGGUAACCUACCUAUAAGACUGGGAUAACUUCGGGAAACCGGAGCUAAUACCGGAUAAUUUUUCGAACCGCAUGGUUCGAUAGUGAAAGAUGGCUUUGCUAUCACUUAUAGAUGGACCUGCGCCGUAUUAGCUAGUUGGUAAGGUAACGGCUUACCAAGGCAACGAUACGUAGCCGACCUGAGAGGGUGAUCGGCCACACUGGAACUGAGACACGGUCCAGACUCCUACGGGAGGCAGCAGUAGGGAAUCUUCCGCAAUGGGCGAAAGCCUGACGGAGCAACGCCGCGUGAGUGAUGAAGGUCUUCUGAUCGUAAAACUCUGUUAUUAGGGAAGAACAAACGUGUAAGUAACUGUGCACGUCUUGACGGUACCUAAUCAGAAAGCCACGGCUAACUACGUG